AUUGAACGCUGGCGGCAUGCUUUACACAUGCAAGUCGAGCGGUAGCACAGAGAGCUUGCUCUCGGGUGACGAGCGGCGGACGGGUGAGUAAUGUCUGGGAAACUGCCUGAUGGAGGGGGAUAACUACUGGAAACGGUAGCUAAUACCGCAUAACGUCGCAAGACCAAAGUGGGGGACCUUCGGGCCUCAUGCCAUCAGAUGUGCCCAGAUGGGAUUAGCUAGUAGGUGGGGUAAUGGCUCACCUAGGCGACGAUCCCUAGCUGGUCUGAGAGGAUGAACAGCCACACUGGAACUGAGACACGGUCCAGACUGCUACGGGAGGCAGCAGUGGGGAAUAUUGCACAAUGGGCGCAAGCCUGAUGCAGCCAUGCCGCGUGUGUGAAGAAGGCCUUCGGGUUGUAAAGCACUUUCAGCGGGGAGGAAGGCGUUAAGGUUAAUAACCUUGGCGAUUGACGUUACCCGCAGAAGAAGCACCGGCUAACUCCGUGCCAGCCGCCGCAGUAAAAC
rnacentral:rRNA from 1 species